UACGUAGGGUGCGAGCGUUGUCCGGAAUUCUUGGGCGUAAAGGGCUCGUAGGCGGUCUGUUGCGUCGGGAGUGAAAACUCAGGGCUUAACCCUGAGCCUGCUUCCGAUACGGGCAGACUAGAGGUAUGCAGGGGAGAACGGAAUUCCUGGUGUAGCGGUGAAAUGCGCAGAUAUCAGGAGGAACACCGGUGGCGAAGGCGGUUCUCUGGGCAUUACCUGACGCUGAGGAGCGAAAGUGUGGGGAGCGAACAGG
rnacentral:rRNA from 1 species